GAGCGGUAAGUUUCUUCGGAGACCUAGAGCGGCGCACGGGUGAGUAACGCGUACAUGACCUACCUUUAAGACUGUGAUAGCCCUGGGAAACUGGGAUUAAUAACGGAUGUGAUAAUAGGUAUAAGGAUUUAUUAUUAAAGAUGAGUCGCUUAGAGAUGGGUGUGCGUCUGAUUAGCUAGUUGGUAGGGUAACGGCCUACCAAGGCGACGAUCAGUAGGGGGCGUGAGAGCGUGACCCCCCACACGGGUACUGAGACACGGACCCGACUCCUACGGGAGGCAGCAGUAAGGAAUAUUGGUCAAUGGACGGAAGUCUGAACCAGCCAUCCCGCGUGCAGGAUUAAGGUCCUAUGGAUUGUAAACUGCUUUUAGUAGAGAAGAAACGCAGUCAUUUAUGAUUGCCUGACGGUACCUACAGAAUAAGCACCGGCUAACUCCGUGCCAGCAGCCGCGGUAAUACGGAGGGUGCGAGCGUUAUCCGGAAUCACUGGGUUUAAAGGGUGCGUAGGCGGGGAAUUAAGUCAGUGGUGAAAUCUUGUCGCUUAACGAUAAAAUUGCCAUUGAUACUGAUUUUCUUGAAUUGGGUUGAGGUUAGCGGAAUGUGACAUGUAGCGGUGAAAUGCAUAGAUAUGUCAUGGAACACCAAUUGCGAAGGCAGCUAGCUGGGCCUUGAUUGACGCUGAGGCACGAAAGCGUGGGUAGCGAACAGGAUUAGAUACCCUGGUAGUCCACGCCCUAAACGAUGCUAACUCGAUGUUUGGCCGUAAGGUUGAGCAUCCAAGGGAAACCGAUAAGUUAGCCACCUGGGGAGUACGACCGCAAGGUUG
rnacentral:rRNA from 1 species